CACAGUGCUUAAGUUCCUUGUGGACCAAAGGGAACACUUAUGAGCAAGCAAUGAAGCGGACUUCAGGCUAGGAGAAGGCUAAAGUGGGGAGACGUGGAGUAUAAGAAAACCCAGAGGGACAGGUUUAUGCCCCAUUUUGCAGAUGGACAACAGAGGCACACAGAGAAAGGCUCCUGAACCUUGAUGUAGUCCCUGUUGCUUAAUCUCAGUGCUGUUUCUGCAUGCUCAGAAUUUGAAAUUCCCUUUCCUGAGCAGCUCAGUUCAUCGCUUUCAGCACGUGUGUAUCGGGCCUCACUCAGCUUCCUGAAUACCUGUGGGAUCAAGCAGACUCCAGAACAAGGAAAAUCAUCAGGGAUAAAGAGAAUCACUACAUCAUGACAAAAGGGUAAAUCUCCAAGAACCACAAGCAAUCCUUGAUGUAUAUGUACCUACCAACAGAAAGUCAAAAUAUGUGAGGUGAAACAUCUAGGAGUGGAAUUGCUGGUCAUAUGGUAACUCUAUGUGUAACAUUUUGAAGAACGACAAACUGUUUUGAAAAGAGACUGCACCAGUCAACAUUUCUAUCAGCAGUGUGUAAGAGUAUCGGUUUCUCCUCAUCCCCACUGAUACUUGUCACUGUCUUUUCCAUUGUCGCCGUCCUAUUGGGCAUGCUGGGAGGACUAAAGAGGGAUGAGCCCACUGAAGGUCGUCCACAUGAGAGGUGGAACCCACUCUAAGGAAGGGAGGACUGCGCAGCAAGGGUGUAGAUAAGGGACAUGCUGGGACCCUGAGCUCUCAUGCCUAGCAGAGCUGAGGGGGGAGCAAAGAGCAAUGACUCUGGAGUGGCGGAACCUGGUUUGGAUCUCAGCCCUGUCAAUCGUUACCUGUCAAUUACUGGCUACCAGCUAGACCUUCACUUCCUCAUUUAUAAAGCGGGCACCAUAAGUACGUAACACGACCCUGUUCGGAGACCCCAAGAAGAUAAUGCAAAGGAAGAGCUUUGCCCAC